UACGUAGGUGGCAAGCGUUGUCCGGAAUUACUGGGUGUAAAGGGCGUGUAGGCGGGGGAACAAGUCAGAUGUGAAAUCCCGAGGCUUAACUUCGGAGAUGUAUCUGAAACUGUUCUUCUUGAGUGUCAGAGAGGAAAAGGGAAUUCCCAGUGUAGCGGUGAAAUGCGUAGAGAUUGGGAGGAACAUCAGUGGCGAAGGAGGCUGUCUGGACGAUAACUGAGGCUGAGGCGCUUAAGCGUGGUGAGCAAACAGG
rnacentral:rRNA from 1 species